CAUGCUGGAGGUAUCAGAAGUGCGAAUGCUGACAUAAGUAACGAUAAAGCGGGUGAAAAGCCCGCUCGCCGGAAGACCAAGGGUUCCUGUCCAACGUUAAUCGGGGCAGGGUGAGUCGACCCCUAAGGCGAGGCCGAAAGGCGUAGUCGAUGGGAAACAGGUUAAUAUUCCUGUACUUGGUGUUACUGCGAAGGGGGGACGGAGAAGGCUAUGUUGGCCGGGCGACGGUUGUCCCGGUUUAAGCGUGUAGGCUGGUUUUCCAGGCAAAUCCGGAAAACCAAGGCUGAGGCGUGAUGACGAGGCACUACGGUGCUGAAGCGACAAAUGCCCUGCUUCCAGGAAAAGCCUCUAAGCAUCAGGUAACAUCAAAUCGUACCCCAAACCGACACAGGUGGUCAGGUAGAGAAUACCAAGGCGCUUGAGAGAACUCGGGUGAAGGAACUAGGCAAAAUGGUGCCGUAACUUCGGGAGAAGGCACGCUGAUAUGUAGGUGAAGCGACUUGCUCGUGGAGCUGAAAUCAGUCGAAGAUACCAGCUGGCUGCAACUGUUUAUUAAAAACACAGCACUGUGCAAACACGAAAGUGGACGUAUACGGUGUGACGCCUGCCCGGUGCCGGAAGGUUAAUUGAUGGGGUUAGCGGCAACGCGAAGCUCUUGAUCGAAGCCCCGGUAAACGGCGGCCGUAACUAUAACGGUCCUAAGGUAGCGAAAUUCCUUGUCGGGUAAGUUCCGACCUGCACGAAUGGCGUAAUGAUGGCCAGGCUGUCUCCACCCGAGACUCAGUGAAAUUGAACUCGCUGUGAAGAUGCAGUGUACCCGCGGCAAGACGGAAAGACCCCGUGAACCUUUACUAUAGCUUGACACUGAACAUUGAGCCUUGAUGUGUAGGAUAGGUGGGAGGCUUUGAAGUGUGGACGCCAGUCUGCAUGGAGCCGACCUUGAAAUACCACCCUUUAAUGUUUGAUGUUCUAACGUUGGCCCCUAAUCGGGGUUGCGGACAGUGUCUGGUGGGUAGUUUGACUGGGGCGGUCUCCUCCUAAAGAGUAACGGAGGAGCACGAAGGUUGGCUAAUCCUGGUCGGACAUCAGGAGGUUAGUGCAAUGGCAUAAGCCAGCUUGACUGCGAGCGUGACGGCGCGAGCAGGUGCGAAAGCAGGUCAUAGUGAUCCGGUGGUUCUGAAUGGAAGGGCCAUCGCUCAACGGAUAAAAGGUACUCCGGGGAUAACAGGCUGAUACCGCCCAAGAGUUCAUAUCGACGGCGGUGUUUGGCACCUCGAUGUCGGCUCAUCACAUCCUGGGGCUGAAGUAGGUCCCAAGGGUAUGGCUGUUCGCCAUUUAAAGUGGUACGCGAGCUGGGUUUAGAACGUCGUGAGACAGUUCGGUCCCUAUCUGCCGUG
rnacentral:rRNA from 1 species